GCAGAGAGGAUGUUCGAGGAAGAAAUUGGUGGUUUGAAAGUGAAGAAAUUGGGUCCCUCUAUAUGGUUCUCAAGAUGCAACAACUUCUCCAAAACUACGACAUCCGUAACGAAACCCUAAAAGAUGUCGCUUCGUACAUGCUAAAAGCAAUGGUUUUAGAUCUUGAAGGUUUAGGUUGGCUAUUCCAAAGCUUAGCGUACAUGGUAUGGUUUCUGCUGUGAAAGAUAUUUUAGAGCAGCUUAAACUUUGUGUUGCACAUCAUUACCCAAAAUACAGUUUGUUGAAAGUAUGGCGAAGUCUUAGUUAUAAUCUGAAAACAACUCUCGG